UAUGAUUUCAUUGGCCGUCCUGACUGUGGAAAGGCUGUUACACACAUGCACCAUCCGGUUUGCUCAAUUCAACCUCUGGGUGUUUUACAUAGGGGGAAGUGUCUGAGGGAAAACGUUUAUCAAACAUGAUGCAUUGGCAGGUUAAAUAGAAAAGAUGGAGUGACUAUUCAAAACCAUGGAAGAGAUUAUUUCAAAUGAGGGAACAAACUGACCGCCCGUGCGUCACACCUGGGAGCUGAGCUGAAGCCCAUGAUUUGAUCCGCGAGCCAUUAGACGCCAGAACGAGCAGACCAUGGGCUAAUAGAAUAGUGUCACAUGAAGUUUCGAUUACAAGCCAGACCAAGGGACUCACUAACUGUUCACUACAGGUCUUAAAGGGAUCGAGACACAUGGAAAACAUCAGGUUGGGUCACCACAGCAACCUUGGAUGGAGGCGAAAUAAGAGGACAGGGCGAUCGCUCAUUAUGGCUUUUGCUUGGAUUCUGUGGAAUUCUGUUGAAAACUAUUUUAGAAAUCCAUAGGACUGCUCAACAGAAACUCAUCCCUCAUCUGGAAAGAAUAGGAAUUACACCUCGCAUGCAGUCAUCUAGUUUUAACAGAUUCCAACAUACUGCCACAACUGUGCAGAUUAUUUGGCUAAGAGGACCACUGGAACACAACCAUAUCGUGAUGUGUCAGGAAUUAAUGGACAUUGUUGGCAGAGAUGGCUGAUUCUCUCAAGCUCUAUCAGGUUGGAUGGGGAGUGUCGCUGCGCAUCUAUUUUCAGGUCUCUCCAGAGAUGUUUGAUCGAGUUCAAGCCCAGGCUGGGGCUGGGCCACUCAAGAAUAUUCAAAGACUUGCCCCGAAGCUACUGUGUGCUUAGGGUCAUUGUCCUGUUGGAAGGUAAACUUUCACCCCAAUCUGAGGACCUGAGCGAUCUGGAGCAGUUUUUCAUCAAGUUUCUCUCUGUACUUGGCUCCGUACAUCUGCCACCACCAUGCUUCACCGUAGGGAUAGUGCCAGGUUUCCUCCAGAUGUGACGCUUGGCAUUCAGGCCAAAGAGUUCAACCUUGGUUUCAUUAGACCAGAGAAUCUUGUAGA